CCUACGGGUGGCAGCAGUGAGGAAUAUUGGUCAAUGGACGGAAGGCUGAACCAGCCAAGCCGCGUGAAGGACGAAGGUGCCAAGCAUUGUAAACUUCUUUUGUCAAGGGACAAAAUCAGGCUCGAGAGCCUGACCGAGGGUACUUGAAGAAAAAGCAUCGGCUCAAUUCGUGCAGCCAGCCGCGGGAAUACGGAGGAUGCGAGCGUUAUCCGGUUUUAUUUGGGUUAAAGGGUGGGCAGGCGGCGGUGCAUGUCACCGGUCAAAUUGCGGGGCUCAACCCCGUACUGCCGUUGAAACUGCAUCCCUUGAGUGCGCGAGAGGUAUGCGGAAUGCGUGGUGUAGCGGUGAAAUGCAGAGAUAUCACGAAGAACUCCGAUUGCGAAGGCAGCAUACCGGCGCGCAACUGACGCUCAUGCACGAAAGCGUGGGUAUCGAACAGGAUUAGAUACCCUGGUAGUC
rnacentral:rRNA from 1 species